rnacentral:tRNA from 1 species
GGUUGGGUAGCUCAGUGGUAGAGCACUUGUCUAGCACAUAGGAGGCACUGGGUUUGAUCCUUAGCACCA